rnacentral:rRNA from 1 species
GAUGAACGCUGGCGGCGUGCCUAAUACAUGCAAGUCGAGCGAACAGACGAGGAGCUUGCUCCUUCGACGUUAGCGGCGGACGGGUGAGUAACACGUAGGUAACCUACCUAUAAGACUGGGAUAACUUCGGGAAACCGGUGCUAAUACCGGAUAAUAUUUCGAACCGCAUGGUUCGAUAGUGAAAGAUGGCUUUGCUAUCACUUAUAGAUGGACCUGCGCCGUAUUAGCUAGUUGGUAAGGUAACGGCUUACCAAGGCAACGAUACGUAGCCGACCUGAGAGGGUGAUCGGCCACACUGGAACUGAGACACGGUCCAGACUCCUACGGGAGGCAGCAGUAGGGAAUCUUCCGCAAUGGGCGAAAGCCUGACGGAGCAACGCCGCGUGAGUGAUGAAGGUCUUCGGAUCGUAAAACUCUGUUAUUAGGGAAGAACAAACGUGUAAGUAACUGUGCACGUCUUGACGGUACCUAAUCAGAAAGCCACGGCUAACUACGUG